ensembl:lncRNA
GAGCAUUACUAAGAAAAAGGAGAAAAAGUUUAUAAUUAAUCCUGUAACCUGUCGAGGACCCUGUUUUCACCUGAGAGAGUGGACGUGAAUGAGAGCAAGAACAUUAAGAGGCCCCAGGAAAGAUGGUCUGAAAGAUCAACACAAUAGCACUGCUUUGUCAUUGUUUUAUUUUUGUUUCAAAAGCUUCCAAUAUACCUGGCAGUAUCUAAAACCUUCCUCUAUCUUUAUAUAGAAUUUGAAAAUCCCUACACAUUUCAGAGAAGGUGAGCUGAUUUGAAGCAUAGGUUACACCAAACUGUUACUCUCUGGAUCUGGUUGGAAUGUGAGAUGACAAGCAGCUGAGAGUUAAAUUAUAUUUAUUUUACUACCGAUGGACAAAAACCAACAGACCAAGCUAAUUACACCCAUAGUGAGAAGGCAGAGUGGAGGAGUCUUCCUUCUCAUCAUCCUCCUACAACACAUUCUGCCAUGUAAUACUUAGAUUUACUACCACUGCUACACAAAAACAUGAUAGUGAUAUGAUUCAUGAUAGUGAACGACCAUAGUUCACAUCACUACCUCAAAAAGGGUGGAAUUCUGAGAAGUGCUGUAGACAGGUGGCUUAUGAAGUCAGAAACAUUUAGCCUCAAAGAGCUAGAAACAUCUACGUUGCUGGGCUUAAAAAAUACAGAUCUACUUUUAGCCUGAUUGCUUAAAAUAGAGAAGACAGCAGUAGAGACAGGAAACACGUCGAGUGAGUGGACAGCUAACGGCCCUUUCUGCCAGCACACUGUCGCCUAAGCCAUGACAGAUACAGGAGAUAAAUAUGAAAUCCGGGAGAAGCUGAGCCAUAAAUGUCUAUAUUUAGAAAACUGGUUAAAGAUGCAUUACCAUGAGAAGGCUAGCACAAAUGGAAUUAGUGGCACAGGCUGUAUUUAAAAUAUCAUUAAGUUCUAUUCCAGGGGAAAUGAAGUACUAAGUAUCUUCUGUGGAAGUGAAUUAGUCCCGUUUGACGGUUUGUGUAUGGAUCUCCUACAAGCUGUGUUGAAAGAGAGCCAAGAGCCAAAUGGACCUGGCCUCCUGUGCCUACUGAGCUGAUUACAGUACUGCAGAAACACUGGCUCAGUUCAGCAGGAACAGGAGUCUGGUCUACAGACCGCUGACCCAACAACGUCCUCCUGCAAUGUUGAAGUACUGAGGACACGUAGUGGCUCCAGCUGGGAUGCUCAUGGCAUUUAUGCCAUUAAUGUACAUUUUUUGCUAACAGCAAUUCAGUAUCAUUACCCAGAGUCAUGGGGCUUGUAUUGUAGGCCAAAUGGAUAAAAGAAUUAUGUGAGACUGAUGCAGGCUCUCCUCUUCAAGCUCUGGCCUCCAAGUGUGAAAUCAGCUCAGGGAAAUCGACAGCGGCACACAGGCACCCGACACCACAGCUAAUCACCACCUUUCUUUUCAAGGAGAAAAUAUAUUAAAUAUAUUUAAAUAAAUACACACACAGGACGAUGGAUUUUGUUUUAGGCAUCCAAGUGAUCAUUGUAGAACUCUUACAUUAAUAUUAAC